rnacentral:rRNA from 1 species
AUUUAACGCUGGCGGCAGGCCUAACCCAUGCACGUCGAACGAGUGGCGGACGGGUGAUUACUGUCUGGGAAACUGCCCGCUGGAUGUGGAUACCUACUGGAAACUGUAGCUCAUACCUCCUACCAUCGGAUGUGCCCAGAUGGGAUUAGCUAGUAGGUGGUGUAACGGCUCACCUAGGCGACGAUCCCUAGCUGGUCUGAGAGGAUGACCAGACACACGGGAACUGAGACACGGUCCAGACUCCUACGGGAGGCAGCAGUGGGGAAUAUUGCACAAUGGGCGCAAGACUGAUGCAGCCAUGCCGCGUGUAUGAAGAAGGCCUUCGGGUUGUAAAGUACUUUCAGCGAGGAGGCGUUACUCGCAGAAGAAGCACCGGCUAACUCCGUGCCAGCAGCCGCGGUAAUUC